UGUCUGCUGCAUCCUGUACUGGUCACAGAAGUGGAAGUUAUUGCGGUUUCAGACUGAGCACUUGCUGUCCUGAGGAAGGAACACACAUUUGACUAGAUUGUAUCCUCUCUAAAGAUGUGCUGCGCAUCAAUUCAUCUCCUCAUUGGUGCCUUAUUUGUCUUUGCUGUUGAAAAUGAGGCAACAACAACGAUAAGCAGCACAAAAAUCAUCACUGCUCCAGUUUCAAUGUCUGUUGACAACACCACCCUAAUCAAUAAAACACCAGAGGGCUUUCUAGACAACUUUACCACUCCAAACUCCACGGUCGACCUGUCAAACACAACGGAUGGGAAUACUACGUCAGAUGGACAAUCAGAAUCACCUACUCCUCCACCCUCAGAACAUCCGCAGACCAAGUAUUACACCACAGAAAAACCUCUGAAAACUGUUGCGCAAUCAAGCACAAAAAAUAUGAUCAAAAGCACAACAAGCAAAAAAACCACAACUCAAGGACAAAACAAUGGCAAAAACAAUCUAGCAAUAGCUUACACAGUUAUCCUGCUUAUUGUUGUAUUGUGCCUCUCUGGGAUAGUAGUUUACUGUUGCCUUCAAAAGAACUCCAGGAAGUACUCUGUGGACUUACAUCCCAAACAAGAUGCUCAGAUCCCACUCAGCACAAUGGAUAUAGAGGUGUUUGACACCACAUCAGUCAAAGAUAUACAAACAUUCACUCCUGUCGAGUCCACCGAGCCACUUAAAGACCCUGCGCCCGUGAAGGAAGCUGAAAAACCUGAGGGAGGGAAAGAAUCAGCUGAUGUUAAACAAGAAAUCCAACAGAAUUUAUCCAGCACUCAGGCCACAGUGAACACAAAGGAUCAAACGGAUGGGCUGGCCGCAGUGGAUCUGACUGAUGGAGAACUGACGAUCUCCACCAAAACCUCAAUGGAAUCCCUAGAUGAUGUUCUCAACGAAAACAACUGCAACAAUACAGGAGCUGAAGUCAACGGCAAUGGGCAUGAAUUCACUAAAAUCUCUAUUGAUAUUUAACUUCUAAAAUAAAUCAGCCUCUUCCCAACAUUUAUCAUUGAAGAAAUGAAACUGACAUGAGUUCAGAACAACUAGGAUCUCUGAACCAGACUGAUGGAAACUGGAAGCAAAAGCUGAACUAAGUUGUAAACUAUGCAAGUCAUUGUUAGAACAAUGCUGUUUGCAUAUAUAUACAGUACUAAGAAAAGUCUAACAGGGCUCAAUGUACUGUAUUGAUGUCUUUCUUCAUAUAUUUUUUUCUUGGGUUUUACUCACUGAAUUUCUUUGUGUUGUUUAAGGGUUAAAUGAAAUAUACUGUGCAUAAACUUAACGGAGAAACUUAAUGGAGUUAGUACUUUUAUAUUUAGAAUAAUAUUACCUAUUAUGUUUGAUUUUAAUAUUGUAACUAUUUUCAACCUAAUUUAUGAAAAUCUAAUCUAAUCUUAAAUGGAUAAUUUUGUAAAUUUUCAACCAGCUUUGUAUUGUUGUCGACUGUAUAUGUAAAUGAACAAUGUGUACUCUUUCUCCGUGUUACUGGACCCAGAUAUCCCCAUUUAUUUUCCAAGCAAAAGGAUGCUUGGAAGUUGGAUCAACAGAGCAUAUAUAUCAAUAUAUAAAAUAUCUAAAAAUCGAAAGUGUAUUAUGAGUGUUGACGUUUAUGACAAAAGGGAUAUUUGUACAUUGUACAUUGAAUACAUUUUUUAUUAAAUUAGAUAUGUGUAAAGUUA